GAUUAAAAAAUUCAUCCAUUUCUACUGUUAAAAAUUGGCAUGACUAACAUAAUAACCAAACAGCGAUACAUAGUGUGGCACAUGUAUUUCAUGCUGACGUACAGGGACCGAUUUUUAAUAAUAGAAAUAGAUAGAAUUUUUAAUA
rfam:Gossypium hirsutum cultivar TM-1 chromosome 10, whole genome shotgun sequence